UACGAAGGGGGCUAGCGUUGUUCGGAAUCACUGGGCGUAAAGCGCACGUAGGCGGAUUCUUAAGUCAGGGGUGAAAUCCCGAGGCUCAACCUCGGAACCGCCUUUGAUACUGGGGAUCUCGAGUCCGGGAGAGGUGAGUGGAAUUGCGAGUGUAGAGGUGAAAUUCGUAGAUAUUCGCAAGAACACCAGUGGCGAAGGCGGCUUACUGGUCCGGUUCUGACGCUGAGGCGCGAAAGCGUGGGGAGCAAACAGG
rnacentral:rRNA from 1 species